UUGAGCGCCAGCGAGAGAGCGUUGCCGCAGGCAACGACCCGAAGGGCGAAGCGCGCAGCGCUGAGUAAUCCUUCCCCCACCACCA
rnacentral:sRNA from 2 species